UUUUAAUUUCAGUCUAUCUGUCUCCUGCCAACUCAAACUACAGUAGAGACAGGUCAGCUCUCAGCCCUAUCACCAAGUAGACCCAGCACAUGAAAAAGAAUUCAGCUUUACUGUGAAAAAAAUUUGUGGAAUAAGAAAACAAGAGCACAUGGAACUGCCUAGGAUUUCCAGGGCUCCGAGCCGGGUGAAGUUGGUGCUUUAGCUCUGCCGGGUCCUGCUGCAGGCAUCAAUCCCCGCCCAUUGCCCCCGGAGCUUCCCUUGUCCUCUUUCACAAAGGUGCCGGGGCAAGGAGCAAAUUCUUCAUCGCACAGCGAAGAAGUCUUCACUUUAACUCCCGCAAACGGGUCUCAUUAUGUACCUCUGGAUGUCCUGGAACUGUGUAGGCCAGGUUGGCCUCAAACUCACAGGGUUAUGCCUCUGUCUUCUGACUGCGGGAAUUAAAGGCCUAUGUCAUUACAC